AAUCACAACAGGGUGUUGCGGGGGUCGGGUGUGAGCCUGGUCCUCGUGAUGCCUUGCUGGCAUGCAUGCAUGGUGUUUCUUGCGAGGCAUCGUGGGUGUUGUGUUGGCAUGAUAACAAACCCCCGGCACGGCAUGUGCCAAGGAAAACAAAACAUAAGAAUGGUGCGUCCCGUGUUGCCCCGUUCGCGGUGUGCGCAUGGGUCGUGUCUUCUCUUUAACCAUAAACGACUCUCGGCAACGGAUAUCUCGGCUCACGCAUCGAUGAAGAACGUAGCAAAAUGCGAUACUUGGUGUGAAUUGCAGAAUCCCGUGAACCAUCGAGUUUUUGAACGCAAGUUGCGCUCGAAGCCAUUCGGCCGAGGGCACGUCUGCCUGGGCGUCACGCAUCGCGUCGCCCCCGACCACGCCUCCCUCAUGGGAAUGGCUUGUGUCGGGGGCGGAGACUGGUCUCCCAUGCCCAUGGUGUGGUUGGCCUAAAAAGGAGUCCCCUGGUUUUUGGUUUGUUACGGAUGGUUGGAUGUCUGCCUUGAGCAGCAACUUCCAUGCGUGCUUACCUCUUCAGUUGUGUGCAAGGCUUGACGCCUUGGGUACUUUGUGGGUUUCCUGUGUUGCAUACCUAGUUGAUGGUAUUUUGUUGGUUUAUAGAUGUUCCUUUUCGUCGUGCGUCGCUUAUGGGGCGUGGGACGAACGUUGAUGCGAUCUUUGUGAUCUGCCUUGUUGGUGCUUAUGCAUUGAUGAUGUGGCCCAUGAAGCAUUGCUUGGUGUCUUGUGUACGGAACCUAAUGUGGGCAUGGGUCUUACGUGAUCCUAUAUUUGCCCUUGUUAAGCGUUCUCGCUUCUCUAAAACGAUUGUCCGUCAUGUUAUGGCUUGUCCAUUCGUUUCGGGCUUUGUCGAAGAGGAAUGCUACCUGGUUGAUCCUGCCAGUAGUCAUAUGCUUGUCU
rnacentral:misc_RNA from 1 species